UGGCUCUCGCAUCGAUGAAGAACGCAGCGAAAUGCGAUAAGUAAUGUGAAUUGCAGAAUUCAGUGAAUCAUCGAAUCUUUGAACGCACCUUGCACCCUUUGGUAUGCCAAAGGGUACACCCGUUUGAGUGUCAUUGUAAUCUCACUACAACCGACUUUUGUCUCUUGUAUGUGGACUUGGAUGUUGCCGUGAAAACAAUCGACGGCUCGUCUGAAAUGCCUGAGUAUACCCCCCACUCUGUGGCGUAUUCGGUGUGAUACAUCUUCACCGGAGUCUGAUCCUCACGGGUCGCGUCAGUCAGGGUGUGGCUCUGUGCUUCCAACCGUCUCGUAAGGGACAAUCUUUGACAAUUUGACCUCAAAUCGGGUGGGAUUACCCGCUGA
rnacentral:misc_RNA from 1 species